CCAGACUCCUACGGGAGGCAGCAGUGGGGAAUAUUGCACAAUGGGGGGAACCCUGAUGCAGCGACGCCGCGUGGGCGAGGAAGUAUUUCGGUAUGUAAAGCCCUAUCGGCAGGGAAGAAGAAAUGACGGUACCUGAAUAAGAAGCACCGGCUAAAUACGUGCCAGCAGCCGCGGUAAUACGUAUGGUGCAAGCGUUAUCCGGAUUUACUGGGUGUAAAGGGAGCGUAGGCGGUGCAGCAAGUCAGAAGUGAAAGCCCGGGGCUCAACUCCGGGACUGCUUUUGAAACUGUUGAACUAGAUUGCAGGAGAGGUAAGUGGAAUUCCUAGUGUAGCGGUGAAAUGCGUAGAUAUUAGGAGGAACACCAGUGGCGAAGGCGGCUUACUGGACUGUAAAUGACGCUGAGGCUCGAAAGCGUGGGGAGCAAACAGGAUUAGAUACCCUCGUACG
rnacentral:rRNA from 1 species